CCCUGGAGAAGGGAAAGGCUGCCCUCUCCAGUAUUCUGGCCUGGAGACUUCCCUGGACUGCAUAGUCUAUGGGGUUGCAAAGAGCUGGAUAUGACUGAGCGACUUCACUUUCACUUCACUUUAAAUUGUUUUCUGGGUUCUCUUUGCCCAGAAUCUUUUCUACUUGGAAAACUCAAAAGAAAAGUCAGAGAAAGAUAAGCAAUCCUGAUGAUACUUAGCAUCAUAUUGGGACACAUGGUAGAAUGGAUUCUUUUAAAGGCGGAUUCUUCACUUGCUGAGCCAUCAGGGAAGCUCUGAUUUCUUGAGUGAUUAAACCUUAAGUAAGUCUGGAUCUGGACCAUACUGUGAAAAGCCUUGCUUUGAAAGGUAGAAAAUUUGUUCUGUGUAUGUGUGCGCUAAGUUGCUUCCGUUGUGAUGGACUCUUUGUGACCUCG